GCACAAGCGGUGGAGCAUGUGGUUUAAUUCGAUGCAACGCGAAGAACCUUACCUAGACUUGACAUCCCGGGAAUUCUUAGGAACUAAGAAGUGCCUUUCGAGGAGCCUGGUGACAGGUGCUGCAUGGCUGUCGUCAGCCCGUGUCGUGAGAUGUUGGGUUAAGUCCCGCAACGAGCGCAACCCCUAUCUUUAGUUGCCAUCAUUGAGUUGGGCACUCUAAAGAGACUGCCGGUGUCAAACCGGAGGAAGGUGGGGAUGACGUCAAGUCCUCAUGGCCUUUAUGACCAGGGCUACACACGUACUACAAUGGCAGGUACAGAGGGCUGCGAAGCCGCGAGGUGGAGCGAAUCCCAGAAAACCUGUCUCAGUCCGGAUUGAAGUCUGCAACUCGACUUCAUGAAGGCGGAAUCGCUAGUAACCGCGAAUCAGCAGGUCGCGGUGAAUACGUUCCCGGGCCUU
rnacentral:rRNA from 1 species